rnacentral:lncRNA from 1 species
CCGGUAACGUCGAUGCGAUGGUGCGGUGCGUGCGGGCCCGUGCCGCCGCCGCGCUCGCUGCCGCCUCCCGCAUGGGAGCAAAAAGGGACAGGCGGAGCGCUUACUGGCUGUGGGCAGGAGCUGCUGCAGCUGUAGCUGGAGAGGCCAGAGAAAGGUAAAGAUGAAGAAAUUGAAGGCCAUCUGGCUGGCAGCUGCCUCUUGCUGCAGGCAAGAGAGAGCCUGCUUCUCCAGAGGCAGCACUGAAGACUCAGUUGUCGAUUCCUCUUGGGAUGUUGUUGACUGUGUCUGGCUCAGGAGUUGCAGUGGCUGAAGCUGGAGAGGCCAGAAGAAGGUAAAGCAGCUGAAGAAUAAAAUAAAGGGCAGACAAGAGACAGCCUGCCUCUCCAGGUGAGGAAGGAUCCCUGUUAGUGCAGUUCUCAGCAGAUCCGAUCACUAAUGUGCACAGCAGGGUCUGUAUGCAUAACCAAAGGCACACGACAGCCAUGUAGUGUGUGCAUGCGGGAGGCUAUGUAUCUGGGAUGCCUCAUGUUGUAAGACCUGUAAGACACCAAUCUAUGCUUUUAGGUGGAUGACAGUCAAGUGACCAGAGAUACGGGGUGGCGGGGGGGGAGGGGGGGGGGGG